rnacentral:lncRNA from 1 species
CUGGUAUGAGAGGCUGAUGGAAAUGCAAUCAGGGAGAUCAUUCCAAGGUAGUUUUUCCCUACAUUUUCUGUCUGAUUUCAAGGUUUCCCUGUGAGAUCCUGGAGUGUAUUUCACAGAAGCGACACAUGCCAGGGGGUAGAGAUGAACAUUUCCAGGAAGGAUGAGAUCCCCAGUUUUGUUUCAUAGAAUGAUAAGAAAAACCCUGUAAGAUCAUGGAGUCCAAUGUUAACCUAGAACUAAAUCCACCACUAAACCCCAUGGCUGGGCAGGGCCACACUUGGAGCUGGAGCUGCCCUUUGGGAUUGAAGCUUCCAUCUGCAUGGAAAGCAUCAUCAGUGUUGUGUUUUUCCUUGCUGUCCCAGAGCUAUUCCCAAGCCUGAGAGCCCAAAUGCUGCCAGGAGCUCACCAGGAACAACCUGCAGUGCUUGGGAUGGGCUGGCUGGGAUCCCACAUGUGCACUGCUCAUCCUGGAUGAGAAACAUCAAGGAGACAUUGGUGAGGCCCUGGCAGAGGGUGCCCAGAGAAGCUGUGGAUACCCCUGGAUCCCUGGAAGUGUCCAAGGCCAGGCUGGAUGGGGUUUGGAGCAACCUGGGAUAGUGGAAAGUGUCCAGGCUCACGGCAGGGGUGGGAUGAGAUGAGCUUUAAGGUUCCUUCCAACACAAAUCAUUCCAUGAUUCUGUGAUUGUGUCUCUCAUUUUGCCUUCUUGUGGAUGUCAUGGAAAAGGAGAAGGAGGCAAGGCAGGAGAAUGGGGGGUGGAGCAGCAGUGCCAGGAGGUCCUUGAUGGCAACAUAACAUCUACACCCAGGAGAAAUCCUGCCACCCCCUGGGACUGUCCCAGCAGGGAAAGGAGCCAGACCAGUUCAGGAUUGCGCCAGACUGGGCAGUGACCUGGGAGUGCAGCCGGGGAGAACAGCUGCAAAGCGCCAUGGAGGUGGGAAAUCAGCUCCUCAUGCACCUGCAACAGGCUCCAGAACGAGGAGGUGUCCUGAGAAGGGCUCUGGAAAGUGUUCUGAGGGAAACUUUCUGCUUCCAAACAACCAGUGCUUUCUGUUCAGCAAUGACCUCAGUGGGAAGAAAAAUUGCUGCACAAAAGCGACGGGGAGCUGAGGCCAGGAGCAAACCCUCAGCACUGGUCCCACCACGAGCAGCUCUGGGUGGGUCUGGAUGAAAUGUUUUUCAGAGAUUUUGUAAAAUUAGUGGAAUUAAAAAAU